rnacentral:rRNA from 1 species
UACGGAGGGUGCAAGCGUUGUCCGGAAUCAUUGGGCGUAAAGAGCGUGUAGGCGGCCCGGUAAGUCCGCUGUGAAAGUCCAGGGCUCAACCCUGGGAUGCCGGUGGAUACUGUCGGGCUCGAGUCCGGAAGAGGAGUGUGGAAUUCCUGGUGUAGCGGUGAAAUGCGCAGAUAUCAGGAGGAACACCAAUGGCGAAGGCAGCACUCUGGGACGUGACUGACGCUGAGACGCGAAAGCGUGGGAGCAAACAGG